rnacentral:rRNA from 1 species
CGGUAAUUCCUGCUCCAAUAGCGUAUACUAAAGUUGUUGCAGUUAAAAAGCUCGUAGUUGGAUUUCUGCGGGGACGGAGCGGCCGGUCGCAACUUGCGACUCGAGCUAGCGCUUUCCCCGCAUCCUGCCGCGAACCGUGCUACCAUUAGCUUGGUGGCGCUGGGGAUCGGCUCGAUUACUUUGAGAAAAAUAGAGUGUUCAAAGCAGGCCACACGCCUUGAAUAAGUUAGCAUGGAAUAAUGACUAAGGACUUCGGUUCUAUUUUGUUGGUGUUCGGGACUGAAGUAAUGAUUGAUAGGGACAGUUGGGGCGGUCUGUAUUCCAAAGCGAGAGGUGAAAUUCUUAGACCUUCGGAAGACAAACAGCUGCGAAAGCGUUCCGCAAGGAUGUUCCCUUUGAUCAAGAACGAAAGUUGGGGGAUCGAAGACGAUCAGAUACCGUCGUAGUCUCAACUAUAAACUAUACCAGCUAGGGAUCGGUCAACGUUUAAUCAUUCGACUUGAUCGGCACCUUAUGAGAAAUCAAAGCAUCUGGGUUCCGGGGGGAGUAUGGUCGCAAGGCUGAAACUUAAAGGAAUUGACGGAAGGGCACCACCAGCCGUGGAGCCUGUGGCUUAAUUUGACUCAACACGGGAAAACUUACCAGGUCCAGACAUAGUAAGGAUUGACAGAUUGAUAGCUCUUUCUUGAUUCUGUGGGUGGUGGUGCAUGGCCGUUCUUAGUUGGUGGAGUGAUUUGUCUGGUUAAUUCCGUUAACGAACGAGACCCCAGCCUGCUAAAUAGCGCGGUUGAGCUUUGCUCGAUGCGAGCUUCUUAGAGGGACUAUGAUGCGCGAUAGCACAUGGAAGUUUGGGGCAAUAACAGGUCUGUGAUGCCCUUAGAUGUUCUGGGCCGCACACGGGCUACACUGGCGCCUGCAACGAGCAUAUCAGCUGGCCCGAGAGGGUCUUGGCUAAUCUUUUGAACCGGCGCCGUGCUUGGGAUUGACCAUUGCAAUUGUUGGUCAUGCAACGAGGAAUGCCUUGUAAACGCGAGUCAUCAGCUCGCAUUGAAUACGUCCCUGCCCUUUGUACACACCGCCCGUCGCUCCUACCGAUGAAUGUUCCGAUGAAAUUUUCGGAGAGCGCCAGAGAACGGGGCUCUGCCUUGCAGAUCUGGAGGCUCAAAGUCACUUAAAUCUGAACAUUUCGAGGAAGGAGAAGUCGUAACAAGGUAACC